UUCUGUGUGCAUGGCUAACCCUACGGGUUUAUCAUUAGUAGCCCUUCCAGCCAAGUUCGUGCUUAUCCCCACAGUAUGGAGUAAGACCUGGAUCGCUGGCAGAUGCUUCUUCCAGACUCCGAGAGCUGCCAUGUUGCUCUGGCGUCACGUCAAGGACCCGUACUUGGGACUGAAAACAGCAACCACUGACCUCCAAUGCUGGUCCCAGUCUCUAAUCUCACCUCUGACCAGGGCUCGCACUUGAUCAGCCUUGCCUGAACGACAGGAUUAACCUAAGGCUGACUUUUUGCAGCUGUCUUUGUUCAGAGCAGUGUGAUAUAUCACAAGCAUAACACUGCAUACAAAUAACAGUCCAGAGUGGCACCCAGUUUCCGAGGAGUACAAAUCCAAUUUAUGGCUCACUUCUUAUAUCCAUUUGAUAGUUCCUUGCCUAUAUAGUGUUCUACAUCCUCUUAUUUUCAUACACUUCUUUUAACUGGUAUGUUGUCCAUAUGCUAAGUAUAUAUCCAAGCUUAAAUCAUUAAAAAUACCAUAAGCUGUG